rnacentral:rRNA from 1 species
AUACGGAGGAUCCGAGCGUUAUCCGGAUUUAUUGGGUUUAAAGGGUGCGCAGGCGGCCUUUUAAGUCAGCGGUGAAAGUCUGUGGCUCAACCAUAGAAUUGCCGUUGAAACUGGGGGGCUUGAGUAUGUUUGAGGCAGGCGGAAUGCGUGGUGUAGCGGUGAAAUGCAUAGAUAUGACGAAGAACACCGAUUGCGUAGGCAGCUGACCAGACCGCAAAUGACGCUCAUGCACGAAAGUGCGGGGAUCGAACAGGAUUAGAUACCCUGGUAGUCCGCACAGUAAACGAUGAAUACUUGUUUUCGGCGAUAUAAUGUCGGAGGCAAAGCGAAAGCGAUAAGUAUUCCACCUGGGGAGUACGCCGGCAACGGUGAAACUCAAAUGAAUUGGCGGGG